UGCAACCACCCAUGGUUUUAGAGAAGAAGCAACCCAUGUAGUGCAAGCUGCUCAGGACCAGCCGCAGUGACAAACCUCUCCUGGUGUGCAGGCAGUCGGACGCUCAGCUGGACUGGCGAAACAAAGUAUCUGUAUGUCAAUGUACGUUUUAUUCAUCCGUCUUUUGGGUCAGGGUCUGCGGGCAAACCCCCGCAGCUAAUGCCCUCUGGUAAGACGCCAUACCUCAACUGGUGCCCCGUGUAAGGUGCAAUACCACAAAGAUACAAUACAAUUGUUACAUUAGCAAAACAUAUGGGUCAUGAAUUAUGUUAUGUUCAGGACAGUUGUAGACAGUCUGCAGGGAGGUCUAGUUUUAGCUUUUUUAGACUUAGUGUAAAUUUAGUGAAGCCUGUAGUUGUUCACAGUAACAGAAAAU
rnacentral:lncRNA from 10 species